rnacentral:rRNA from 1 species
AGCAGCCGCGGUAAUUCCAGCUCCAAUAGCGUAUAUUAAAGUUGUUGCAGUUAAAAAGCUCGUAGUUGAAUUUCGGGAUCAAUAUAUCGGUCGUGCUUCGGUAUGUACUGGUAUUAUUGAUUUCUCCCUUCUGACGAACUAUGAUGUCAUUAAUUUGGUGUUAUAGGGAAUCAGGACUGUUACUUUGAAAAAUUAGAGUGUUUAAAGCAGGCACACGCUUGAAUACAUUAGCAUGGAAUAAUGAAAUAGGACGUUUGAUCUUAUUUUGUUGGUUUCUAGGAUCGACGUAAUGAUUAAUAGGGAUAGUUGGGGCAUUAGUAUUCAAUUGUCAGAGGUGAAAUUCUUGGAUUUAUUGAAGACUAACUACUGCGAAAGCAUUUGCCAAGGAUGUUUUCAUUAAUCAAGAACGAAAGUUAGGGGAUCGAAGACGAUCAGAUACCGUCGUAGUCU